CUGGUCUACAAAUUUUAAGAAGUUGUCUGCUUCAAAAAUAUAAUGUGCUAUUUAUGAUGGAUUUUGGCAUACUGAAUUCAAAUAUGACAAUAAAAAUGACUGGGUGGUUACUGUUUCUAACAUAUUUAAGUAUUUACAUUUUAAGUAACAUUAGAUUAUUUAU